CCUGGUGACCAUGGUGGAGGUGGCAUACCCGUUCCCUUUCCGAACACGGAAGUCAAGCCCUCUAACGCCGAUGAUACUGCCCCCCUGAGGGGCGGGAAAGUAGGAAGUCGCCGGGC
rnacentral:rRNA from 1 species